rnacentral:rRNA from 1 species
AUGGGCCCUCUUGUGGUAGACCCACAUGUCAUCGGUGUAACUAUUUACACUCCGGAGGACGAUGCCUAUAUACUGGUAGUAGUACUAGUAGAAUUGAGAUUUAAUGUACUUUCUUCCUCGUCUUCCACUCUUCUUCCUCCUCUCUUCCCCAUCGUCGGCCGCACACCAUUUACCCCCGCUCACUGCUCGCCCGCCCGUGCCAUCUUCCUUGGUAGCUCGCACGACCUGGAAUCAUACCAGCCGAUGGGUGCUGGUUUAUCGCUCGUUCAGCUGACGGAGUCGAAGAAGGAUUGGCCGGUGCUGCCGGCUGGUGUCAAGUUUGAUCCCACGGAUCAGGAGCUGAUCGAGCACCUUGAGGCCAAAGUGAGUGUUGACAGCGCGAGAUUUCAGUCUCUCAUCGAUUUGUUCAUACCAACCAUCGACAGUGAGCACAGCAUGUGCUACACCCAACCUGAGAAACUUCCAACAAAAAAGGUUCUGGUGCUGCACACCAACAAGAACUUCGACCAGCAGAGGACCAACUGGGUGAUGCACCAGUACCACAUCGGGGACCUGGAGCAAGAGAAGGAGCGGGAGCUGGUCCUCUGUAAGAUUUUCUACCAGACGAACACUAGGGCCAGGAGUAGUUUGGUAUUGGUAGUUGUACUGCCUUGUCGUCCGCAAGUUGGUAUUGUUGUUAACGAUCUUUUGGCCCAGCCCAUGACGACAACGGGGCACAAAGAUCCAGCAGGUAUCUACUGGCCUCUGGCCUGCCAGCGUUAG